rnacentral:rRNA from 1 species
UACGAAGGGGGCUAGCGUUGCUCGGAAUCACUGGGCGUAAAGGGUGCGUAGGCGGGUCUUUAAGUCCGGGGCUCAACCCCGGAUCUGCCGUGCCGACUGUCAAACUCGAGGGCUGUAGAGGCAGACGGAAUUCCUGGUGUAGCGGUGAAAUGCGCAGAUAUCAGGAGGAACACCGGUGGCGAAGGCGGGUCUCUGGGCCGAAAUUGACGCUGAGGAGCGAAAGCGUGGGGAGCAAACAGG